CCUACGGGUGGCAGCAGUGAGGAAUCUUGGUCAAUGGACGAGAGUCUGAACCAGCCAAGUAGCGUGAAGGAUGACUGCCCUAUGGGUUGUAAACUUCUUUUAUAUGGGAAUAAAAUGUUCCACGUGUGGGAUUAUGUAUGUACCAUAUGAAUAAGGAUCGGCUAACUCCGUGCCAGCAGCCGCGGUAAUACGGAGGAUCCGAGCGAUAUCCGGAUUUAUUUGGUUUAAAGUGAGCUUAGGUGGUUGUUUAAGUUAGUUGUGAAAGUUUGCGGCUCAACCGUAAAAUGGCAGUUGAAACUGGCAGUCUUGAGUACAGUAGAGGUGGGCGGAAUUCGUGGUGUAGCGGUGAAAUGCUUAGAUAUCACGAAGAACUCCGAUUGCGAAGGCAGUUCACUGGACUGCAACUGACACUGAGGCUCGAAAGUGUGGGUAUCAAACAGGAUUAGAUACCCGGGUAGUC
rnacentral:rRNA from 1 species